GAUGAGGAACGCAGCGAAAUGCGAUAAGUAAUGUGAAUUGCAGAAUUCAGUGAAUCAUCGAAUCUUUGAACGCACAUUGCGCCCGCUAGUAUUCUGGCGGGCAUGCCUGUCCGAGCGUCAUUUCAACCCUCAAGCCCCCGGGCUUGGUGUUGGGGAUCGGCGAGCCUCCGCGCCCGCCGUCCCCUAAAUCUAGUGGCGGUCUCGCUGUAGCUUCCUCUGCGUAGUAGCACACCUCGCACUGGGAAACAGCGCGGCCACGCCGUUAAACCCCCAACUUCUGAACGUUUGACCUCGGAUCAGGUAGGAAUACCCGCUGAACUUAAGCAUAUCAAUAAGCGGAGGA
rnacentral:misc_RNA from 1 species